rnacentral:rRNA from 1 species
AGAGCGCAAGGGGAAUGCCUUGGCACUGGGAGCCGAAGAAGGACGUGGUUAACUGCGAAAAGCUGCGGGGAGCCGUAAACAGGCGCUAUAUCCGCAGAUCUCCGAAUGGGGCAACCCGGCCGGGUUCAUACCCGGUCACCGUGCACUGAAUACAUAGGUGUACGGAGGGAACCGCCUGAACUGAAACAUCUAAGUAGGGCGAGGAAGAGAAAUCAACCGAGAUUCUGUGAGUAGUGGCGAGCGAAAGCGGAAGAGGCUAAACCAUAGGUAGCAAUACUUAUGGGGUUUCGGACAGCAUUUAGUAUUGAUAAUUUCUAGUUGAAACGUGUGGGAAAACGUACCGAAGAGUGUGAGAGUCACGUAAGCGAAAGAGAAAGUCAGCGAGCUGUAUCCAAAGUACCGCGGGACACGUGAAACCCCGUGGGAAGAUGGGGGGACCAUCCUCCAAGCCUAAAUACUACCUAAUGACCGAUAGCGAAUAGUACUGUGAAGGAACGGUGAAAAGAACCCCGGGAGGGGAGUGAAAAAGAACCUGAAACCCUAUGCUUACAAGCACCGAGAGCACGUCAAAGUGUGAUCGGGUACCUUUUGUAGAAUGGUCCGGCGAGUUAUUGUAUGCGGCAAGGUUAAGUGCUUAAGGCACGGAGCCGAAGCGAGAGCAAGUCUGAACAGGGCGAAAAAGUCGUAUGCAAUAGACCCGAAACCGAGUGACCUAUCCAUGUCCAGGCUGAAGUGGAGGUAAAACUCCAUGGAGGGCCGAACACACGUCCGUUGAAAAGGCCGGUGAUGAGGUGUGGAUAGCGGAGAAAUUCCAAUCGAACUCGGAUAUAGCUGGUUCUCCCCGAAAUAGGUUUAGGCCUAGCCUUGAGAUUGAGCACUAUGGAGGUAGAGCACUGAAUAUACAAUGGCCCCAUCUAGGGGUACUGAGUGUAAUCAAACUCCGAAUGCCAUAGGAAGCAUACUCAAGAGUCAGCGUAUGGGUGAUAACGUCCAUGCGCGAAAGGAAAAGAGUCCAGAUCGCCAAUUAAGGUCCCAAAAUUUGUACUAAGUGGGAAAGGAUGUGGAGUUGUCAAAACAGCUAGGAGGUUGGCUUAGAAGCAGCCAUCCUUUAAAGAGUGCGUAAUAGCUCACUAGUCGAGUGACACUGCGCCGAAGAUGUACCGGGGCUAAGUACAAUACCGAAAUUGCGGAUUUACACGUAAGUGUAAGUGGUAGGGGAGCGUUCCAAGGGCGUUGAAGGUUGACCGUGAGGACAGCUGGAGCGCUUGGAAGUGAGAAUGCCGGUGUGAGUAGCGCAAGAUGGGUGAGAAUCCCAUCCACCGUUUGCCUAAGGUUUCCUGGGCGAGGUUCGUCCUCCCAGGGUUAGUCGGGUCCUAAGACGAGGCCGAGAGGCGUAGCCGAUGGACAACAGGUUGAUAUUCCUGUACUAUCUAUAAGACUGAUGGAGUGACGGAGAAAGAUAGGAAGAGCCAGUUAAUGGAUUCUGGUCUAAGCACAAAGGUUGAUAAAAAGGGAAAUCCGUUUAUCGUUCAACUGAAGUGUGAUGGUGAAGUACCUAGUACGAAAUCUUCUGACUCUAUGCUUCCAAGAAAAGCUUCUAGGGUUAAUCUUAUAGAUACCCGUACCGAGAACCGACACAGGUGGGCAAGGAGAGUAUCCUAAGGUGAGCGAGAGAACUAUGGUUAAGGAACUCGGCAAAAUAACCCCGUAACUUCGGGAGAAGGGGUGGUCAUUUCGGUGACCGGCACUAAAGACGUCCAGGCAACUGUUUACCAAAAACACAGGUCUCUGCUAAGUCGUAAGACGAUGUAUAGGGGCUGACACCUGCCCAGUGCUGGAAGGUUAAGAGGAGUGCUUAGAUAGACUAAGGUCAAUGAUUCGAAGGUACGAAUUGAAGCCCCAGUGAACGGCGGCCGUAACUAUAACGGUCCUAAGGUAGCGAAAUUCCUUGUCAGGUAAGUUCUGACCCGCACGAAAGGUGUAAUGAUCUGGACACUGUCUCAACCAUAGACUCGGUGAAAUCUUAAUACCUGUGAAAAUGCAGGUUACCCGCAACAGGACGGAAAGACCCCAUGGAGCUUUACUGUAGCUUGAUAUUGAGGUUCGGUGUAUUAUGUAGAGGAUAGGUGGGAGACUAAGAAGCUAGGACGCCAGUUCUAGCAGAGUCAACCUUGGAAUACCACCCUUAAUACAUUGGACUUCUAACCUAGGACCGUAAUCCGGUUCAGGGACAGUGUCUGGUGGGCAGUUUGACUGGGGCGGUCGCCUCCCAAAGAGUAACGGAGGCGCUCAAAGGUUCCCUCAGAAUGUUUGGAAAUCAUUCUAAGAGCGUAAAGGUAUAAGGGAGCUUGACUGCGAGACCAACAAGUCGAGCAGAUACGAAAGUAGGACUUAGUGAUCAGACGAUGCAGAAUGGAAUGGUCGUCGCUUAACGGAUAAAAGUUACCCUGGGGAUAACAGGCUGAUACCACCCAAUAGUUCACAUAGACGGUGGUGUUUGGCACCUCGAUGUCGGCUCGUCACAUCCUGGAGGUGAAGUCGCUUCCAAGGGUUGGGCUGUUCGCCCAUUAAAGUGGCACGCGAGCUGGGUUCAGAACGU